AGAGAGAGACAUGCGCGCAUAUCAAUAAGCGGAGGAAAAGAAACUAACAAGGAUUCCCCUAGUAACGACGAGUGAAGCGGGAAGAGCUCAAAUUUGAAAUCUUAAAGGGUUUCCCUUUACGAAUUGUAGUUUAAAGAAGUGUUUUCUGUUGAGGUUUUGGUAAAAGUUCUUUGGAAUAGGACAUCAUAGAGGGUGAGAAUCCCGUAUUUGACCUUUACUUUCAACCUUGUGAUACACUUUCAAAGAGUCGGAUUGUUUGGGAAUGCAGUCCAAAAUGGGUGGUAAAUUUCAUCUAAAGCUAAAUAUUGGCGAGAGACCGAUAGCGAACAAGUACCGUGAGGGAAAGAUGAAAAGAACUUUGAAAAGAGAGUUAAACAGUACGUGAAAUUGUCAAAAGGGAAGCGUUUGACACCAGUGUUGUUUUUCUGAAAAUCAAUUAAAGAACUGUUUAUGCUAAGUUGUUUAGACUUUAUCAGCUAACUGUUUAGUUUUGAGCUUUUCUUUAAUGCACUUUUCAGUUAACAAGUCAACAUCAAUUUCUUUUGCUGUAAAAAAGCUUGAGGAAGGUGGCUUGAGAUUCGUCUUAAGUGUUUAUAGCCUCUUGCCUAUGCAGUCGGAGAGAUUGAGGUCUGCAGCGUAGAUCCUUCGGGGCUAAAUGCAUUUGUGCUAAGUUAUAGCAUUUUAUAGACAACUUGUUGACUAUGAUUUGUCUUGUAGCUUACUCGCUUAUGUUAUUUUACCUACGCUUAGGAUGUUGAAGACUCUACAGAGAUA
rnacentral:rRNA from 1 species